AACGAACGCUGGCGGCAUGCCUAACACAUGCAAGUCGAACGAGACCUUCGGGUCUAGUGGCGCACGGGUGCGUAACGCGUGGGAACCUGCCCUUAGGUUCGGAAUAACUCCCCGAAAGGGGUGCUAAUACCGGAUAAUGUCUUCGGACCAAAGAUUUAUCGCCUUUGGAUGGGCCCGCGUUGGAUUAGCUGGUUGGUAGGGUAAAAGCCUACCACGGCGACGAUCCAUAGCUGGUCUGAGAGGAUGAUCAGCCACACUGGGACUGAGACACGGCCCAGACUCCUACGGGAGGCAGCAGUGGGGAAUAUUGGACAAUGGGCGAAAUCCUGAUCCAGCAAUGCCGCGUGAGUGAUGAAGGCCUUAGGGUUGUAAAGCUCUUUUACCCGGGAUGAUAAUGACAGUACCGGGAGAAUAAGCUCCGGCUAACUCCGUG
rnacentral:rRNA from 1 species